ensembl:lncRNA
CAUUAUCAAUACCAACCUGUACUACUAGUCUUCAUUAAUCAUCAUUUAAUAUACAAAUGUAGAAUCAUUGCAGAGUUUACUGCCGGCCCCUAUGGGAUAGUAUUCGAUUAAAGACCGCUGAUCGGUUCAGUUAGGAUAACAUAAUUCAUGUAAGUCCAUUAUCAUUCUUUAUUAGGCUAUAGCUGUUGUUGACAAGGUUGGUUAAGUUCCUGAUAAUAUUUUGUUAGACAUGUGCAUGUAGGAAUUGUAGCUUAUGUUGUUAUUUUGGGUAUUGCUUCAGGGCUUCUUCAUCUUUGUCAUUCAAUAAGUAAUCUGACAUCGAGGAGUUUAUUUCUGCAAUCAUGUUUGGUUAUUGAUCAAUUUAGACUUAUACAAAUAAAUUAAUGUUUUGGUUACUGACAAGUUUAUCAUUAACUAAAGGCGUAUAUAUGACUUAAGACUGAACGACAUUAUAAGCCUACCUCUCCGCUGGCCCGGGGACCGUGCGGGCCUCGGGACCCCGGCCGGGGUCAGUGAAGGAGGUCUGGUGGUGUCUCCUCAUGGGGGAGCCGGACGGACCUCCAGUCGAGCGGGGAGCGACGAGGGUGGAGCGGAGCGUUCAGGGAACACAUUCGGACACCGGAGCGUUCAUUCGGACACCGGAGCGUAGAUGUCGCCUCCAGUGCGGUCCUCCUCCAGCUUGGCACCGACCACCCCAGACUACCGCACACCGGUACAUCCACCAGGUGGCCAGGAGGAGGUAGUGCUGCCUGCAUGCGGAGCUGUCGUCCUGGUCCCGUACCACCGGUCCUCUCCACUCCCUCCCAGCUGCUUCAUACCACAGCAUACCAUAGCAUAUCCUUUAUAAUGUAUAUGUUUUAUAUCGUCUGUUUUUUUUUUUGCCCUGUUCGUCCUGUUUGUCUUUACUUUAGUAUUUACCUUAGCGUCUAUUUUCGUUUUCAUUCGUAGGCCUAUACUUUGUAUUUUUAUUGUAUUGCAUCUUAUCCGGUGUUUUCCACUGCUGCUGGGCUGUUGUAACUUGUAACAAAUGACUUUCUCCUCCGUGGGAUUAUUAAAGUUGUUAUAUAUCUAUCGAUCGAUCAACUCAAUUAGGAUUAAUUGACACGUUGCCGCACCACAGCAUCAAUCAGACGGUAUCGACGUCGACAGUGAUUGGCUAUUUUAGAACAGAUCGUACUCGAACAAUUACGGAGGACGUCACUUAAUGUAGUCCUACAUUUAUUUGACUACAGGCCUAUAAUAAAUCAUUAUCUUCAUGUUCAUAUAUACGUGUGCGUGUGCGUGUGUGUGUGUGUGUUUGUGGGUGUCGGGUGUGUUUGUCGUAUAUUAUGUGUUUGUCUGUGUUUGUGCGUGUAUGUGUUUGUCCGUGUGUGUGUGUGUGUGUGUGUGUGUGUGUGUGUGUGUGUGUGUGUGUGUGUGUGUGUGUGUGUGUGUGUGUACGUGUGGUUGUGUGUGAUAGAGGCCAUUACCUGAAGUCACGUGGUUUCGGAUCAGCUCUCAUGAAACCGAAAGUUGAGACGGAAAUCCCUGAAAAUUCCAAGCAAAUGUUGUUUAUUACGUAAAGUAUUUGUUUAUAAUGAUGGAGAUUUAAGGUAAACCACCUGGCUCCCUAAUUAGGUUGUAGUGAUAAUUAUAAUGUGAUGUCAUCAAAAGGUCUUUCAUCAUGCAAACAACAUGAAACACACCAGCAGAGCUGGUGUGUGUGUGUGUGUGUGUGUGUGUGUGUGUGUGUGUGUGUGUGUGUGUGUGUGUGUGUGUGUGUGUGUGUGUGUGUGUGUGUGUGUGUGUGUGUGUGUGUGUGUGUGAUCACACGGUUUUGGAUCAACAGGCAGCCUUAACCAAUCAGGACGCAGCAUUCAAGCUCAUUCUACAAACCGAAAGUUCGAUGGGGAAAUCCAAAGAAUCGAUGAUUGGCUGAUGCAGCUAUCCUUCACAAGCACAGCCGGAGCCCGAAGCGCAGGAGGUUAUUCACUGCACGACAGCAGUUGGACCGAAUCAUCUGGAGAGCGGCCAGAAGACAUAUCUUUCUCUACAAAUAAAUAAUCAAAAGAAGACAGGGAUGGAUCCAUCGUGGAAGAAAAGUAGGUCGGCUACCUCUGCUACUGACGAACCAGCGGACAAUGACCACGCCCCCGCUUCGCAGACAUCCACAAAAGUGCAGCCCGAGCCCCAGAAUGAAGACUCAUCCCCGGCUCUGGAACAUCGGGACAUGGAACAACUGGCCGCGGUUCUGCGUGUGUAUCCGGACGCCACUGCAAGCGCCGAAAACCUCAUCAAACAGACAGCAGUGAAGCACUUCCCCUCGCCACCACCAAAACUAAAUGUGUGUGUGAAGUGGAUCCACAUCUGAUUCUCUGAAGGAUCGUCGUUAAUUAUUCUGUUGAAUCAAACCUUACUCUCUCUCAUUGCUCCUCAAAUCAAUAUUCAAAAACAUUCCCGAUCUAAACGUUGCCUCGCGUUCUAUAGAACAUUGUGGAGCUAGUAUUGUGAUAUGCAUAUGUCUUACUUUAUUUUGUAUUCAUUUAUUGAUAUAGCACCUUUCAAAACAAAGUCACAAAGUGCUUAACAAUAAGAACAGAUAAUCAAAGACAAUAAGAGCAAUGCAAGAUAUUACAAGAUGCAAUACAUUAAAUAAGAUCCAAAACAUCAAAAAAGAUCAAUAAGAAAACCAAAAAAUUCAAUAGUUCACUAAUGCCAUCAAAAGCCAAUAGAUAAAAGUGAGUCUUAAGAAUAGAUUUAAAAUGGGGUUUUCCUGCCUUAAUCAAAAAAAGACGUUACAUGACUUACCAGUGACUUCAUGAUGGUCUGUAUUCCUGUAAGGGAACAUGGUGGUCACUGAUCAGUAAUACAUGUUUUAGCAGUAUCAAUACCAACCUGUACUACUAGUCUUCAUUAAUAUACAUUUAAUAUACAAAUGUAGAAUCAUUGCAGAGUUUACUGCCGGCCACUAUGGGAUAGUAUUCGAUUAAAGACCGCUGAUCGGUUCAGUUAGGAUAACAUAAUUCAUGUAAGUCCAUUAUCAUUCUUUAUUAGGCUAUAGCUGUUGUUGACAAGGUUGGUUAAGUUCCUGAUAAUAUUUUGUUAGACAUGUGCAUGUAGGAAUUGUAGCUUAUGUUGUUAUUUUAGGUAUUGCUUCAGGGCUUCUUCAUCUUUGUCAUUCAAUAAGUAAUCCGACAUCGCGGAGUGUAUUUCUUCAAUCAUGUUUGGUUAAUGAUCCAUUUAGACUUAUACAAAUAAAUGAAUGUUUUGGAUACUGACCAGUUAAUCAUUACCUAAAGGCGUAUGACCAGAGAAUGUCUAAUAUGAGGAGAAUGGGCACUCGCUGGUUAGUUCCGGUUUUCUGGACUGGUUGCAGUAAUAAUCUCUGUCCACGCGGGGCGCUCGUAGGCGAGUCCAGAAUGAAUGGGAGCCUAUGGGGUUUUAUCCUCAGAAUCCACUUUUCUCACGAUGUAAUUUUUGUCAAGUAAUUUGAAAGUUGCGUUCAAAAGGUGGGGCUAAAAUAAUAAACUCAGCUGAAUAUUGCAUCAUUUAAGGUCACGUAUCUGUUCUAAAAAGGUGUUAAAAAAAUACGAUGACGUCACACAUUGUCAUACUGUCAGAGGUACUGCUUUACGGCAGUUUCUGAAGCACUUCCCGCAACGAUAAUACCAGCUGUUGGAUUGGCCGUUUCUCAAUUCUUAGCACGCGUUCUACGGACUCGAUGACUUGCAAGCACGUACAUGGCAAGUCCGUACUUCAAGCACAGACUUGCGAGCACGCGAGUACAUACCUGCAAUUGGAACAGCAGCGGACUCGAUGACGUCACCACCUCUGCUCGUCCGUUAACUGUGCUAAGGCCUCAUUUAGGCAUAUACUGAUCAAUAUAAACAAAUGAUAUAAAACAAAAUCCCAGCCCUUCAUUUUCAAAUAAUAUGUAAAUAUUCUGAAUGAAUAAAAAUUGAAAAGGUAUGCGAAGUCCUGUCAUGUGUAUAAGCUAUACACACAAAACGUCCGAGAAAAACAAGUAGGAUUUGACAGGUUGGAGAAUUCAAUGAUAGCCUAAUAAAAACGUUAAAAAUAAUAAAUACCGAUAUUCGUGAAACAAUAUAAUAAUAUAAUAGCUUACAAUUAAUAGCUUAUAGAUAAUAGCUUACAGUUGUGCGUCUUCUCCAUAUAGUCCGCCAUCGUACUGCGGCGAGUGCGAAAUGCAUCCUGGGAUUUAUAGCGGUUGCAAGUACACACGAGCCACCUCAUGCAUGCUCGGAGAAACGGCGAGAUCGAGCACGCAUCAAGAACACUUCCGGGUUUUACGACUGUACUCGCUUGAUGCGGCUUGAUGCGUACUUCGAAUUGGAACAGUGCUCGGGCAACGACUGAUGACGUUUCACGAGUCCACGAACACGCACAAGUACGCGAAUUGAGAAACUGCCUUUUUCUUGCUUACUAGUUACAGAGUUUUAGUGAGCUAAUGUAAAAAAAAAGAAAUGCGCGAUUGUUUUACUAUAAGCCUACCUCUCCGCUGGCCCGGGCACCGUGCGGGCCUCGGGACCCCGGCCGGGGUCAGUGAAGGUGGUCUGGUAGUGUCUCCUCAUGGGGGAGCCGGACGGACCUCCGGUCGAGCGACGAGCGACGAGGGUGGAGCAGAGCGCUCAGGGAACACAUUCGGACACCGGAGCGUUCAUUCGGACACCGGAGCGUUCUGGAAACACAUUCGGACAUCGGAGCAUAGAUGGCACCUCCAGUGCGGUCCUCCUCCAGCUUGGCACCGACCAGCCCAGACUACCGCACACCGGUACAUCCACCAGGUGGCCAGGAGGAGGUAGUGCUGCCUGCAUGCGGAGCUGUCGUUCUGGUCCCGUACCCCCGGUCCUCUCCACUCCCUCCCAGCUGCUUAAUACCACAGCCAGGGCCGUUUUAAGGAAUUUGGGGCCCCAAGCAAAAUGGACAUGGAGGCCCCCCGCCGCAAAGCCUACAGAAACCACAGCAUAGCCAUACAGUUUAAGUUCCCACACACUUUAUAUAAAUAAAAAAUGUUGACAGUUCAAAGACUGCUGUUGCAUAUACUGGCAUCCCAAUCCAAUGUUAUACAUUGACCUACUUGUAGCUUAACAUAGCAUUUAAGCAUUCUGCUGUUUGAGAAUUAGACAGACGCACCUGGUGCUUUAAAAACACUGGGUGCAACGGAUCACAAAACUCCCGGUUCGGAUCGUGUCACGGUUUUUGAGUCACGGAUCGGAUGAUUUUCGGAUCAACAACAACAACAAAGAUUACAAGACAAAUGUGACUUUAAAUAAAAUAUUCAAAUGUGUAAAAACAAAAUAAAGUGAAAAAUUAGGUAAUAAUCCUGCUUCCUUUAAGCAUUGUCAAUAUUUAAAAACUGGGGAGAGUUUAGAGUCUACACUCUCCCACACAGUUUCUGUCGUGUUUUAUUUGGCAUUUUGUAAAUCCAUUGAUUUCGGUUGGAAGACUCAUUGCUCAUUGCAAGGGGGAUUGGUUGUAGUCUUUUCGCUCGGUUCUAGCCCUACUGUUGAUACGGAGAACCGAGCGAAAAGACUACAACCAAACAUAAACAUGUCCGGUUCCGGUUUCCGGUUAAAUGGGAUAUACGGAACGCCAAAUAAAACACAACAGAAACUGUAUUUCGCUAUGAUACUUGAUGAUGUUGUUAAUACCGGAAUUGUCCUCUAAACAUGCGCUGAUCACGUUUAUUUAUCAGCCGAUCCGCGGAUCACUUCUGUCCCGAACCGUGAGGGUUGAUCUGUACGGAUCACGGGUGAACCGUUGCACCACUAGCUGGCGUGCAUGAAUACAACUAGACAUGAAUAUUCCAGUCUGCUUUGAUGGACGAAAUUUAUCGUGUGGUUUUCCUAACCCACAUUUGGUAAAUAGAUUAUCACGGUGGAAUAGUUAGUAUAGCAGAGAUACUAUGCCACUUUCAUCAAAACCGAUUACAAAGCUAUAGUAAUGUCAUGUCAUUAACUACGAUAAACAGUGAUUCUGGAAGAGAUCUGCGUCUUCCUUAUAACGUUAAUAAACAUAUUAAAGUAUGUAACCAUAUUCCAUCCGUUCGAAAAAAAAGUUGCACUAUUUGAACUGUUCUAGUUUGUUACACGCAGCAUUGGCCGUCAGGCAGGUAGCUAUGCUAACAUAAUUCUUUUGUUGUAUCGUGAACCUACGGACUUCAGUGGGGGUUUCAUUCCGUCUGCGCACGGCACCUUCUCAACGAUGAUCAAUAAUCUUCCUCCCACUCAGGGUGAAAAUGGUAGGUCUUAGCUCGUUUCCCCUCAGCCAUGCCAACGUUUAGGAGUGUGUAACUACUGUUGACGGCUUUCAACUGCUGUUAACAGCACAUGCGCUACCGCGCGUAUAUGUCC